GCGCACCAGGCGCGAAAACUUCACACUGUGCGAAAGCACGAUGAGGGAAUCCCAAGUGCUUGCACGUAAGUGUAAGCUGUUUCUCUGUCUAAAACGCAGAGAGAGUAAGGGCUGGGUAAGACGGGUGCCAGCCGCCGCGGUAAUACCUGCAGCUCAAGUGGUGACCGUUAUUAUUGGGCCUAAAACGUCCGUAGCCGGUUUAAUAAAUGCCUGGGUAAAUUGUGUAGCUUAACUAUACGAAUUCCGGGUAGACUGUUAAACUUGAGACCGGGAGAAGUUAGAGGUACUCCUGGGGUAGAGGUGAAAUUCUGUAAUCCUAGGGGGACCACCAGUGGCGAAGGCGUCUAACUAGAACGGGUCUGACGGUGAGGGACGAAGCCCUGGGGCGCAAACGGGGAUUAGAUACCCCUGUAGU
rnacentral:rRNA from 1 species